rnacentral:rRNA from 1 species
ACCCCUGUGAACAUACCACUUGUUGCCUCGGCGGAUCAGCCCGCUCCCGGUAAAACGGGACGGCCCGCCAGAGGACCCCUAAACUCUGUUUCUAUAUGUAACUUCUGAGUAAAACCAUAAAUAAAUCAAAACUUUCAACAACGGAUCUCUUGGUUCUGGCAUCGAUGAAGAACGCAGCAAAAUGCGAUAAGUAAUGUGAAUUGCAGAAUUCAGUGAAUCAUCGAAUCUUUGAACGCACAUUGCGCCCGCCAGUAUUCUGGCGGGCAUGCCUGUUCGAGCGUCAUUUCAACCCUCAAGCACAGCUUGGUGUUGGGACUCGCGUUAAUUCGCGUUCCUCAAAUUGAUUGGCGGUCACGUCGAGCUUCCAUAGCGUAGUAGUAAAACCCUCGUUACUGGUAAUCGUCGCGGCCACGCCGUUAAACCCCAACUUCUGAAUGUUGACCUCGGAUCAGGUAGGAAUACCCGCUGAACUUAAGCAUAUCAAUAGCGGAGGAA